rnacentral:rRNA from 1 species
GGCUCAGGACGAACGCUGGCGGCGUGCCUAAUACAUGCAAGUCGAGCGGAGCACUUCGGUGCUUAGCGGCGGACGGGUGAGUAACACGUAGGCAACCUGCCUAUAAGACUGGGAUAACUAUCGGAAACGAUAGCUAAGACCGGAUAACUGGUUUUCUCGCAUGAGAGARUCAUGAAACACGGAGCAAUCUGUGGCUUAUAGAUGGGCCUGCGGCGCAUUAGCUAGUUGGUAGGGUAACGGCCUACCAAGGCGACGAUGCGUAGCCGACCUGAGAGGGUGAACGGCCACACUGGGACUGAGACACGGCCCAGACUCCUACGGGAGGCAGCAGUAGGGAAUCUUCCGCAAUGGACGCAAGUCUGACGGAGCAACGCCGCGUGAGUGAUGAAGGUUUUCGGAUCGUAAAGCUCUGUUGCCCUAGACGAACAGCAAGGCGAGUAACUGCGCUUUGUGU